GGGGCGGUGGAAGCUAUGAAAAGAGGCAGGAAAAAAGUUCCUUUGACCCGAUGCUGUCAGAGAGCGUGCAUGAAGAAGAAAGUUAAUGGUAUUUCCAUUUAUAUAAGAAGCGCCUAAGAAAUGCCUGUGACGUUCGUGAACUAGUGAUUGUGAAUUCCAAAUUUGAUGCCAACUUUAUGUGUAAAGAAGCUAACUCCUGCCAACAUCGUGGCUGAAUGAACAGCUGGGACUAUGCUUAACCCAUUCCCAGCUUAUAAAAGCCCCAUGGCAGCUGCAGUGAAGCAUCAGAAAAGUAUAGUAAGAAGAAACUGAAUUUGAAGUGGAUUCUUACAAAGGAAAAAGAAAAUCACUAUUGUAACUAUACCAAAUUACUAUGUAUGUGAGCUCCCAGCUUUGACAUCAAGUCGUUACAGCCACGUAAUGGGAUUACGGAUUAUGUGAUGCAACAAAAUUCAAAUAUGAAAACCAUCUCGGAGGCCGGGCGCGGUGGCUCACGCCUUUAAUCCCAGCACUUUGGGAGGCCGAGGUGGGUGGAUCAUUUGAGGUCAGAAGUUCAAGACCAGCCUGGCCAACACGGUGAAACCCUGUCUCUACUAAAAAUACAAAAAUUAACUGGGCGUGGUGGCACAUGCCUGUAAUCCCAGCUACUCGGGAGGCUGAGGCAGGAGAAUUGCUUGAACCUGGGAGGCGGAGGUUGCAGUGAGCCGAGAUCACGCCAUUGUUCUCCAGCCUGGGCAACAAGAGCAAAACUCUGUCUCAAAAAUAAAAUAAAAAAUUGCUUUAAAAAAUAAAAAUUCAUCUCA
rnacentral:lncRNA from 1 species